rnacentral:misc_RNA from 1 species
GAUGAAGAACGCAGUGAAAUGCGAUAAGUAAUGUGAAUUGCAGAAUUCAGUGAAUCAUCGAAUCUUUGAACGCUCAUUGCGCCUCCUGGUAUUCCGGGGGGCAUGCCUGUUCGAGCGUCAUUUCACCACUCAAGCCUCGCUUGGUAUUGGGCAACGCGGUCCGCCGCGUGCCUCAAAUCGACCGGCUGGGUCUUCUGUCCCCUAAGCGUUGUGGAAACUAUUCGCUAAAGGGUGUUCGGGAGGCUACGCCGUAAAACAACCCCAUUUCUAAGGUUGACCUCGGAUCAGGUAGGGAUACCCGCUGAACUUAAGCAUAUCAAUAAGCGGAGGA